rnacentral:rRNA from 1 species
UCUUCCGAUCAUGUGUCCCAAGUAGCGCGGGCCUCGUGGAAUCCCGUGUGAAUCGGCCCCGACCGUGGGGUAAGUCUAAGCAUACCUGUCUGACCGAUAGCGUACCAGUACCGUGAGGGAAAGGUGAAAAGCACCCCGGGAGGGGAGUGAAAGAGUUCCUGAAACCGUGCGCCUACAAUCCGUCGGAGCCUCCUUGUGGGGUGACGGCGUGCCUAUCGAAAAAUGAGUCUGCGAGUCAGUGGUGCGUGGCGAGGCUAACCCGUGGUGGGGGAGCCGUAGCGAAGGCGAGUCUCAAAAGGCGUUUUGAGUCGCGCGCCCUGGACCCGAAGCGGGAUGAUCUAGCCCUGGGCAGGUUGAAGCGCGGGUAAGACCGCGUGGAGGACCGAACCCACCUGGGUUGAAAACCGGGGGGAUGACCUGGGGCUAGGGGUGAAAGGCCAAUCAAAUUCCGUGAUAGCUGGUUCUCUCCGAAAUGCAUUUAGGUGCAGCGUCGGUUGAUUGCAUCGCGGGGGUAGAGCUACUGGAUGCUUGCGGGCCCGUGUCGGGUACCAAUAGCAGCCAAACUCCGAAUACCGUGGAUGUGUAUUCCGGCAGUGAGUCGGCGGGGGAUAAGCUCCGUCGUCGAGAGGGAGACAGCCCAGAUCGUCGUCUAAGGUCCCGAAGCGUGUGCUAAGUGGGAAAGGAUGUGGAGUCGCAUAGACAGCCAGGAGGUUGGCUCAGAAGCAGCCAUCCUUGAAAGAGUGCGUAACAGCUCACUGGUCUAGUGGUUCCGCGCCGACAAUGUAGCGGGGCUCAAGCACACCACCGAAGACGCGGCAGCGGCCUUUGCGGCCGUUGGGUAGGAGAGCGUCCCGCGUGGGGCGAAGCGGCCGGGGAACCGUGCCGUGGACCGCGCGGGAGUGAGAAUGCAGACAUGAGUAGCGAGAGACGGGUGAGGAUCCCGUCCGCUGGAUGACCAAGGGUUCCGGGGCCACGUUCGUCGUCCCCGGGUGAGUCGGGUCCUAAGGCGAGGCCGACAGGCGUAGUCGAAUGGAUGAACGGGUGGAUAUUCCCGUACCGGCGGCGUACCGUAAGAGCCGAACGGAUGAGUACUAACCUCCGGUCGCGUGGCGUCGUUCCCUUCGGGGUUCGGGGUCCGCGGUCGUUGGGAGCGUAGUCCCGGUAGGCUAGCGCACAGGGGUGACACGGAAUGGGAGCCGGCCGCGGAGGUGGUUUUCCGUGGUCAAGCACGCAGCCCGUCCCAUAGGCAAAUCCGUGGGACGCAUAGGGUGAGGUGUGAUGAUGGGCGUCCUUUGGACGCGAUAUCCGGUGGUCCAGGCCGUCGAGAAAAGCCUCGGCGCGAGGGGCGUCGCCGCCCGUACCCCAAACCGACACUGGUGGUCAGGUAGAGAAUACCAAGGCGAUCGAGCGAAUCCUGGUCAAGGAACUCGGCAAAUCACUCCCGUGCCUUCGGUAUAAGGGAGACCCCCGGGCGUGAAGAGGCUUGCCCUCGGAGCGUUGGGGGGUGGCACAGACCAGGGGGUAGCGACUGUUUACCAAAAACACAGGUGCAUGCGAAGGCGCAAGCCGCUGUAUAUGCACUGACGCCUGCCCGGUGCCGGAAGGUUAAGAGGAUCCGUCAGCCCCUUUUGGGGUGAAGCGGUGAAUUCAAGCCCCGGUAAACGGCGGUGGUAACUAUAACCAUCCUAAGGUAGCGAAAUUCCUUGUCGGGUAAGUUCCGACCUGCACGAAUGGCGUAACGACUUCCCCACUGUCUCGACCAGGAGCUCGGCGAAAUUGCAGUACGAGUAAAGAUGCUCGUUAAGCGCAGAAGGACGAAAAGACCCCGGGACCUUUACUAUACCUUGGUAUUGGCGUUAGGCGCGGAUUGUGUAGCAUAGGCGGGAGGCUUCGAAGCAUGGGCGCCAGCCCGUGUGGAGCCGCAAGGUGAAAUACCGCUCUGUUCUCGUUUGACGUCUCACCUCGAACAGUCAUCCUGUUCAGGGACAGUGCCUGGCGGGUAGUUUAACUGGGGCGGUUGCCUCCCAAAGAGUAACGGAGGCGCUCAAAGGUCCGCUCAGCCCGGUUGGCAAUCGGGUUUCGAGUGUAAUCGCACAAGCGGGCUUGACUGCGAGAACGACGGUUCGGGCAGGGACGAAAGUCGGAGAUAGUGAUCCGGUGCCGGCGCACGGGCGCGGCAUCGCUCAACGGAUAAAAGGUACCCCGGGGAUAACAGGCUGAUCAUUCCCAAGAGUCCAUAUCGACGGGAUGGUUUGGCACCUCGAUGUCGGCUCGUCGCAUCCUGGGGCUGGAGCAGGUCCCAAGGGUUCGGCUGUUCGCCGAUUAAAGCGGCACGCGAGCUGGGUUCAGAACGUCGUGAGACAG